AUGAGGCCACUCAGCAUUUUGUUUCUAUUGGUAGCAAUAUUAACAGAUCUGAGUCAUGGAGAUUCCGUCACUCAGUCACUCCCCUCGGUUGUUCGGACAAAAGGAGAUGAGGUGACUCUAAGCUGUACCUAUGAAACUACAGUGAGUUACUAUACAUUUUAUUGGUACCAGCAACGCCGAGACACCCAGCCGGAAUUUAUUCUGUGGAAGUAUAGCGAUGGUUCUGAAAGUAAAGCAAGUUUCGCGGAAGAUCGUUUCUCUGCAGAACUUCAGACCUCAAAGAAAUUCACCAGUUUGACUAUAAGCGGGCUGCAGCUCUCUGACACUGCCAUGUAUUACUGUGCUUUAUUGGAUGACACAAUGAUGAGAAACAGUCUUGCCCCUGUACAAAAACUUCCUUGA